UACGUAGGGGGCUAGCGUUGUCCGGAAUCAUUGGGCGUAAAGAGCGUGUAGGCGGUCCGGUAAGUCCGCUGUGAAAGCCGGGGGCUCAACCCUCGAAUGCCGGUGGAUACUGUCGGGCUAGAGUGCGGAAGAGGCGAGUGGAAUUCCUGGUGUAGCGGUGAAAUGCGCAGAUAUCAGGAGGAACACCUAUGGCGAAGGCAGCUCGCUGGGACGUAACUGACGCUGAGACGCGAAAGCGUGGGGAGCAAACAGG
rnacentral:rRNA from 1 species